GUCCCUUUGGGGUCAUCAAAAAAAUUGGAAUGAUAUAGAGAAGAUUAGCGUGGCCCCUGCACAAGGAUGACUCGCACAGAAGCAUUCGUUUGCUCUAAUAUU